UUCACAAACUCUGAUCUUUAGGAAAAAACACACGUUAACAGUCUUGGUAGCAGUAAACAUAAAAACAAAUGUAAGUCACACUGUUCCUUGUGGUCCCCUGUGCUGCCUUCUCCAAAAGCAGUGGUUCCCAGAAUGUCCUGGCAGUGUCAGGAGUGGUGGAUACCGGGAUGGCACCCCAGAAGGAGCAGCUGAGUGCUACUGAUUGCCAGAGGUCAGCAGGAAAUGCUGGAGUCCAGUCUGAAAACACAAACCCAACAGAUCAUGGACUGAGCUGCAGCAUGGAAGGGUCAGAGGCAGAUUGCAGCCCUUUGGGAUUGGGAAAACAGACUUGUGAGACAGCUUUUCUCCCUCUGUCAAAUCUCAGUUAUUUGUUACCUGCCUCAGAGGGCUCAUGGCUGAAAAUACCAUUGCUUUGCUUCAUGGAAUCUAAAUGUCCACAUGAUAGAGACAUAAACCUCAAUUUCUUCUCAGCCCUCACCAAAGGUUUUUGGUCACAGAAGGAGAAUCUUUUUGAAAAAUUGAUCUUUGUUGAAUACCUACACUUCUGUGCUUUCAGAAAUGAAGGAUACUUCUGAUAACAACUUCUGAUAGCCUGAACAUCUUUCUCUACCAAUUCCCCUCUUUCAGCAAUAUAAGUUUGUUCCAAGCAUCUGAAUUCUCUCCAGUUUUUGGCAGUGAUGCUUUUUAGCUGAAUUCCUCUGGAAAUGUGAAGACAUAUUGCUUGUGCACAAAAUGUCCAUUGCCUGUAUAGCAUAAGAGCAUUUUCCUCCCAGAUUCCCCUGCCAGCAUGUGCCUUCCACUAUGGGAGGAGGAGGAAAUGCAUUUCAACUUUUGGUCCUUCUAAGAGCAUCCCUUAAAAAAUGUGUAUUAGUACAGAGGGAAGCAAGUGGAGCAACAACCUGGGCAACAUUUACAGUUCCUGUAAAUUUACAUUUACAGUGUGGACAUUUCUGGUCACAAGAAUCAGACUUUCACCUCUUCUUGGGGCGGUGGUGUUCAAACCCCACUGAUCCCUGUUGGAGUCAGCUCCCCACCUUUGGUGUCCCGCUGUCUCUCGGUGUUCAGUGCCUCUUAAGACCUUUGUGUCUCACUUGGAGACACAGAAUCACAUUCUGACCUCUCUGAGACACAUUUCAUAUUUCCCAGAAUCAAUAACUUCCGAUGCAGUUGCAGGAACACCGGGCAGUCGAUCAGUUCCAUCAGGUUCUGUAAGGAGGAAAAGCAGAGCAGUGCAAGGAUGACAUUUCUUAGGGACUGCUAUCCAGGCAUAUUUGUUGUUUCAACUUUGGGGCUUAGACAGGGCUGCAGCCUGUAGCACACAUAUAAUUUUGUUUUAAAGCUGCCACUCAGGUGCUGAGGGAAUAGCACCAGUGUAGAGCCCUGGUGUGAGAGCAGGCCCAGCACACCUGAUGUGCAAAGUGCACAGAGCUGUCAGGGAGAUCCGAGGGCUCAUGGCUCCAUCACCCAUGUCCCACAUCCCAUCAGAGCCCUGGUUUGUGCUCCUGGCUUUGAUCACCAGUCCCCUGGGAUGAGCAUGGAAAGAUGGGAGAACAGUGGUGUUUUUGCAGAAGUGUUGCCCUGAAGGGAUGUUUGAACAACAACAACAACAAAGUGAAAUUAAUGUCUGUGAGAAGUGUCAGAUUGGAGCUUGAUGAGUCAGACUCUUCACCUGUUUGAAGGCUACCCACAUUUUCCCUGCCAGAGCUCUCAGUGCAGCACCAUUCCUUGGCACAAAGUGUGUUCUGUGAUUUUUAAACUGUCCUCGUGUCCCUGUAUUGCUCAGUCCUGCAGCAAAGAAAGAGUCAGACUGUGCUGAUGGGGGUAAGAGGCUGCACUGGUAAUGCUAGGAAGGAGUUUUGGCUAAUUUACCCUGGUUUUAGAGAGGUUUAAGAAUUGCAAGAGAUUAGAAUGAUUUAAAAAUAAAAUUUAUGUAGAAUGGUCGAGGUGUAACUCUGCUUAUAAACCGGGAGCUGCUGGGAACAGAAGCUUGUUUCUCUCCUUAGCAAACCAGGGCUGUACCCCUACUGCUGCUCUCUGGGAAGGGACUUCCCAUGUUCUGCUCUGACAGCUACAUCACCAAGGUCUUGUCCAGGUUUUUGCAGCGUUCCCAGGUGCUACAGCACAACCUUCCUGGCAGGAAGGUGAUUUGGGAUACACCAUGAUCACAGUGCACAGAUCCUGUGGCAAAAGAAAUCCCCCAGGGCUCCAGGCAUCCUUCUGUGGCAUGCUGCGAGCUUGGGGAAUGAAAGCCCUUUGUAAAUCAGGUCUUGUUCUGAAAAGUUUAAUUUUACAACUGUUUGAGCUUGUCCCUUUGUAAGACUACCUGGUAAAAAUGUAGAAGUCCAAUAUUUCCUCCGUGAAAAAUCCAAUAUAUUUAUAGGAAAUUCCUUUAUAGCAUUUGAAAGGGUGAUGCAGUUUGUCUGAGCAUUCCUAUUGGAGGAAGCAAAGCCAAAACUAUGACUUCAAAAGGCUGUCUGAGAGUGCAUGAACAAGAUUAUUACAGCAAACAGGACUCUGUCCCUGUCUCAACCUAUUGUCCAAUACCUUUAUUCCUUCCUGUUUCUGUGGCUCCUUGUCUCUCUCUUCGCUACAUCACAGCAAUGACUUGUUUUGAAUUGUUGAAUUAGCAGACUGAGGUAAUUUUGUUCAUAUUUACUGUUUAUCCCAAGGUUCUAUUAGCACUCUGUGCCUUCAGUUUCUGCCAUUGAAAGCAAAGGGACACUUCAGCCACUAUGUCCAAGCAAUGACUCCUGGAAUCAUUGUUUCUGCAUACUCUGUUUUAAGCACCUAAAAUCACAGUCUGGGAUACAGACCAAAAGGAAGGAGUGGGAGUUGUUGGUGUUGGCACAAAAGUCAAGUCUAUGUGGUCUCAAGUUUUGUGUGUGGACUUGCUCAUCUAACUCUGGCUGAUCUGUUUGUAUCUCUCACAGAUAAUGUGGCUUUUUUUUCCCAUUUCUAGGAGUCCCUCAACACAUCUGAUUCCAGCCGUAUGAUCCAACGCCUCAGAUGACCCUUUCAGGUAACACACAGAAAGCGCCAGGCUCUGCUGCCAUGGGCAGAGGUGAGCUUUGUGAGGUGUGCUGGGGUCCUCAGCAGUGAUGGGCUGUGCUUUCCAGGCAUCCUCUGCUGUUGGUCUUAGGUUAUUUCUUCGAUUUCCCAAGUCCAGAGGCAAAUGACUGUUUCUGCGUGCUAAGCAUCAAUUCUUUUCCUUUUGUUCUUAUCCUUUCUCCUCUCCACAGUUUUCCUCUCACUUUGAAUUCUCUCAGACUGCUGCCAUCUCAGUUUCCCUGGCACAGGAGAAAACGUGAUGGUGUUUACAGAGCAGAAGCACUGGUACUCAGGAGAUGUGAAAGGUGGCCCUGGUGGCUCUACCUCCAACACCUCUGCGUGGUUCUGCUUUCUGACUUCCUGUCAGGAUAACUUGGACUAAAACCCUCUGCGCUUUUCCUGUGUGAUCCUGCGGUGUCUGACACAACCUCAGGUAAGACCUUUAGGCACUCCCAUUAUAUGAACGAGAACAAGAUUGUUGGUGUCAGUAAUUAACAUUCUUGUGGGAUUGUUGGAAAUGCUUUGGGAUAAACACCACCUGGAAUCCUCGCCUGGUUUAUGUGGUUUUUAAGAUGCAGAGGAGACAGAUCCUGUUCGCACAAGAGGGCAUGGACCAUCUGUCUCCUCUCUUACUGGAUCUGCACAGAGUCUUUCAGUCCGAAGAUGAGUUUCUGUAGCUCAGGGAGAAGUGGGACACUGGAAAAGUGAGAGCAUGGACAGUGGAAAAGAAGAAAGGAGACUCAGUGGUCAGUGUGUCCCUGAUAAUGAUCUCAUCUGAGAACAAUGACUAAUGACAAGCACCAAAACAGGAAAAUACAGUCACUGAGUAUGCUGUGAGCACCUGUGGCACGGUGUCAUCCCAUGACAGGCUUCCAGAGAUGAAUGGAUGACAUGGAUGGCAAAAAUCCCGUUGACUGCAAUGACAUCAGGAAGUUCCUUUAAUUUCUUUCCUUCUGGAUGCCCAGAGACCCAUAUCCCACAUCAUUAUGCAUUUCCUGAUCACAAAUGCAUUACUCUUUUCUUUUAAAUUGUGGAUUCGAUUCCAGUAAACCCUGCAUUUUGGAUUCUAGGUUCUCUCCACCUACCUCAGAAAACCCUAAACAAACAAACAUUGGAUUUUUAAACCUCAGCAAGGGAAGCCUUUAAAAGCGUUUUACACCAACUGCCCUGCCUGUGUUUCAGACUCUGUCAACCUGGGACUCAAGGAGCUUCACCUUCCUCUCAGCCAUCCCAGGGAACUCACCUCAGUGAUAGGAAGUGCCUCCAUUUAUGACCCUCCCAGAUUCCACUGAGGAGCUGGAACUGCUGUUGACCUCAGGAAUGACAGAAGUAUGUGCUGGGGUUAGAGGGUUUCUGGCAUAUGACCUGCUAACCUAGAAUUUGCUCGGUAAAGUCCAGAGGAUGACUUUUAACCUCAGAGCAAUUUGCAAAACCACAUCUGUGACCAAUAAAUGUGAAAAAUAAAUGAAAAAAACCCCCAACCUAGCCCCUAUGGAAGGAUGAAAGCCAGCACACCUUGCUGGGCACUGGUACUGGAAUCGGGAUGGAGAUUGGGAAUAAUCGGACAGGCCAUGUUGCCAGAAGCUGUCCAUGAAUGGAGCCGAUGCCUCACACAAGGGAGGCAGCACAGCAGGUUAAACUGAAGGCAGACCUGUUUUUCCUUCUGGCUCCUUGUUCCCUUCCAUCAUCCUGGAAAACCUGUCUCUCUCCAGAACGUCUGUGCCUGCCAGCUUACCUGUUGCAGACCCAGUUCCCAUCUCCACUGUGUGUUUUUCAAGGAGCUUUCUGCUGUUUCCCAAGGGGACUGGAAGGACAGGUUCACCCUUCCUACCUGCAGACAUGGCAUUGUCCAGAGCAGCCAGGAACUGGAGCUGCAGGUCCAGCUGUGAUCCCACAGCCCUGGGCUGUGAUGAGGACAGAGCUGCUGGAGUGGAAGUGCCAGGAAACCCCUGCCAAGAAGCAGCAGGACUUUCAGGAGGGUUUUCAUAAUGGAGUUUGAGGGAGCACCUCUGACAAAGUGACCACUCUUUUUCAGAGCAGAAAAUCCUUCACAGAAGGAACAGAAGGAGAAAUGUUUAUACUUUAACCUAAGGUAUGAACUUCAGAUGCUUAAAUUUCAGCACAGUGGUUAGUCUGGCCCUAUUAAACGUGACUGAGGGCAGGAUUUUAUGAUGGGAAUUGCUAACCAGCUUUAAUAAAAGCUACACUACCAGUCUUGCCUUUUAAUCAUCGCUUCCAUUUUCAGGAUAAAUUGCAGCUGGUUGUUGGUAAUCCUUGUGGCAUAUCAGAUAGCAGCGUAACUCGGCAAGGGUAAGCUGGAGAAACCCAAACAUCCUUCUGAGGAGGUAAUUAUUCCAUUGUGAAAGUGCCCUGGGAUAUUUUUAGUGGCCAAACCCCCUGUUUCCUGACAGAAACAUAAAAUAAUGAAGCAAGCUUCACAAGGAGAGACGCCUCAAACACCUGUAUUAGCUCGUGCUUUGCAGUCACGUCAGCAUUUAAUUCGCUGUGCGCAUCUCUGCAGCCCUGUACGGCAAAAUCCACACCUGCGUUUGAGGCAAUGCACACUCUGCCAGCGUCUGCCUCUCAGAACAGCCUCUCAUAAACAAAUCUGCAAAUCCUGCUGGAUCAAGAAGAAUUUCACGGGAAUAUAGAGCUGCCUGCAACAAGAGGGAAACCCUUGCCACACACACCGAGGUGAUCAAGGGAAACUUUCCUUAACAGGAGUCUCACAACCCGUGUAAAAACCGGGAGUUUUUUGGAAUGAAUUACUUAAAAUUAAUUCUACAACGUUUUGUAACAUGUUUUGCAGGGGAUGUACCCGUGUUUCACAUCCUGUCGUGCCCCAGGACUCUGGUUCUCUCCUGGUUACUCCAGCCCUGGUCCCGUGUAAUUUAUGUCCUGAAAGAGACCAUUCAAUUAGUCCAUAUAAAAUGAGCAAGGACACCGUGUGCGUUGUAAAAAUAUAAUUUAGUAGGUAACAAGCUGAGAUGGAAAAAAUAUUAGGGUACACUCCAGAUGAUUAAUGAAGGAGGAAUGCAUAUUUAUAGCUUUUAUUGUGUCCUUUGUAAGGAGACUGGAUCCGGCAGUAGGGCUGGAAUGGACUGGUAACGAUGCGGCAUUCCAGCGAUUCGGAUUUGAAUAGCAAAUGCUGUAUAAAACUAAUUACCCCCAGGAGGAUGAAAAUACAUUGCAUUUGCCUUUUCGGA